UAGGUGGGACCAGUCUCAGCUGGGUUAUGUGACCCUUGUAGCACAGACAACUGGGARAGUUCUUCAGAAUUAUUUCAGAGACUAAAUAAGUUGCCUAUGUUGAGCAUGGAGUGUCUUCCAAACAUUGCAAAAUCUUCAUGUUGUUGUUUGAUGGAGGGACCUUUCUAGAAACAACUGAUGUUUGGGAAGUGCCAAGGACUGAAUCAUUUCUCGGCCUCAAUGUUCAAAUCGGCAAAACUUGCAUCUGAAGGGAGAGCCUCAGCUUGGAUUGCAUGAGCUACGCACCUUCUUAGUGAAGACUUCCUGCUUUAGCUGGAAGGCCUUGAAGCAUUUGUCUGUAUCAAACACUGGAGGGGGCAGGGAAGAGUCCCAGGGGGAGUCAUAGUCAAGGUGUAGUGAGGAAUAGCAUGGACAACAUACUGUGGCAGUGAAUAGGAUAUAGAUUUCCUGUCUAGGAGGCAUUAACACCUUCUGCUGUGGCACAUCUCUCUCAACAUGAUUAUGAGCGAGAGCAUUGACUCCCCUUAGCUGUAGAUUUCUUGGAUGUAUAUGAUGCUGGUAUAAACACUAAUGAAGAGAACCUUGCUGACUGAUAUGCUCCUUGGAAAUGCCCCUGAAGGUAGUACUGUUGCAGGUGACACCACUUUUGUGUUUGUAUGAAUGAAUGUCUCUGGGGAUUUGGAGUAUUAAUUGCUGUAGCUGCUAUCAGCCCUCUAGCCCUUCUCUGCUUUUCCCAGGUGGGACUGCCUUUGGGAAUCCAGAAGAGCUAGAGGAUCCGAUUGAAAAGUCUCUCCUCAAGUCUGCAUGUAACAGAUGCUAAGAAUUGAAGGCUUGUGUCUUUCUUGGUGUUUGUAUGUGGUUUUCUU